rnacentral:rRNA from 1 species
AUUGAACGCUGGCGGCAGGCCUAACACAUGCAAGUCGAACGGUAACAGAAAGCAGCUUGCUGCUUUGCUGACGAGUGGCGGACGGGUGAGUAAUGUCUGGGAAACUGCCUGAUGGAGGGGGAUAACUACUGGAAACGGUAGCUAAUACCGCAUAACGUCGCAAGACCAAAGAGGGGGACCUUCGGGCCUCUUGCCAUCGGAUGUGCCCAGAUGGGGUUAGCUAGUAGGUGGGGUAGCGGCUCACCUAGGCGACGAUCCCUAGCUGGUCUGAGAGGAUGACCAGCCACACUGGAACUGAGACACGGUCCAGACUCCUACGGGAGGCAGCAGUGGGGAAUAUUGCACAAUGGGCGCAAGCCUGAUGCAGCCAUGCCGCGUGUAUGAAGAAGGCCUUCGGGUUGUAAAGUACUUUCAGCGGGGAGGAAGGGAGUAAAGUUAAUACCUUUGCUCAUUGACGUUACCCGCAGAAGAAGCACCGGCUAACUCCGUG